rnacentral:sRNA from 1 species
GCCAGGCAUGGUGGUGCAUGCCUGUAAUCUCAGCAAUUUGGGAGGCUGAGUCAGGAGGAUUACAAGUUCAAAGUCACCCUGAGCAACUUAGUGAGGCCCUAAGCAACUUAGCAAGACCCUGUCACAA